rnacentral:rRNA from 1 species
CGCAAGCCUGACGGAGCAACGCCGCGUGUGGGAAGAAGGCUCUUGGGCUGUCAACCACUUUUCUCAGGGAAGAAGCCCUGACGGUACCUGAGGAAUCAGCCUCGGCUAACUCCGUGCCAGCAGCCGCGGUAAUACGGAGGAGGCAAGCGUUAUCCGGAAUUAUUGGGCGUAAAGCGUCCGCAGGGGGCACAUCAAGUCUGCUGUUAAAGGCUGGAGCUUAACUCCGGUAGAGCAGUGGAAACUGGUGUGCUAGAGGGCGACAGGGGUAGAGGGAAUUCCCGGUGUAGCGGUGAAAUGCGUAGAUAUCGGGAAGAACACCAGUGGCGAAGGCGCUCUACUGGGCCGCGACUGACGCUGAGGGACGAAAGCUAGGGGAGCG